rnacentral:rRNA from 1 species
UGAGGAAUCUUGCUCAAUGGGCGCAAGCCUGAAGCAGCGACGCCGCGUGAAGGAUGAAGGUCUUCGGAUCGUAAACUUCUGUUGAAUGGGAACAAAUGCCUGUGGGUAAUAUACACAGGAGCUGAGGGUACCAUUAAAGAAAGCACCGGCUAACUUCGUGCCAGCAGCCGCGGUAAUACGAGGGGUGCAAACGUUACUCGGAAUAAUUGGGCGUAAAGGGUGUGUAGGUGGUGUUUCAAGUCUGUAGUUUAAUUUCCCGGCCUAACCGGGAGUCAGCUGCAGAUACUGUGACGCUAGAGUAUGGAAGAGAGAAGUGGAAUUCUCGGAGUAGCGGUAAAAUGCGUAGAUCUCGAGAGGAACACCGAUGGCGAAGGCAGCUUCUUGGUCCAUUACUGACACUGAGACACGAAAGCGUGGGGAGCAAACAGG